rnacentral:lncRNA from 10 species
UGCCGGGCAAGAACUUCACCCCGAUUUAACCUGCAGAGGAGACCCCGAAGGCGCCGGCCUGAGAGCCUGAGGGGAGUCGCCCAGCGUGCGACGCUAGGCUCGGGCUUACGGCUCAAACAAGUUCAGGCUGCAGCCUGUUGGGCUUUGCCUUCAAUUACUUUCUGUGACCGUUGUGUUUUCUAUUCUACAGUCAGAGCACAGAAACGGUUUUCUUCGGGCUUUUGAAAGAGGUUUAUGAACUAAGCACCUGAUUUCCACCUAUAAUACUGUAAUUCAAUAACUUGUGUGAUAUAUGAGAAAUCCUGAAGUUCAUCACACUGUAACUGAAUUGCCAUUCCCACAAGACUCCAGAGAGUUCUCUUGUCCUCUUUUGGCCAUGUGAGGAUACAAGAAGAUGGCAGUCUGCAACCAAGACGGCUCUCACCAGAACCCAACCAUGCUGGUAAUCUGAUCUCAGACUUCCAGCUCCAGAGCUGUAAGAAAUAAAUUUC